rnacentral:rRNA from 1 species
GACGUAGGAUGCAAGCGUUGUCCGGAAUUAUUGGGCGUAAAGAGUUCGUAGGCGGUUAUCUAAGUCUGGUGUUAAAGCCCGAAGCUCAACUUCGGCAUGGCAUUGGAAACUGGAUAGCUAGAGUGUGGUAGAGGUAUCGGGAAUUCCUGGUGUAGCGGUGAAAUGCGCAGAUAUCAGGAGGAACACCCGUGGCGAAGGCGGCCUGCUGGGCUGACCCUGACACUGAGGCGCGAAGGCGUGGGGAGCGAACGGG